AGAGUUUGAUCCUGGCUCAGGAUGAACGCUAGCUACAGGCUUAACACAUGCAAGUCGAGGGGCAGCAUGGUCUUAGCUUGCUAAGGCCGAUGGCGACCGGCGCACGGGUGAGUAACACGUAUCCAACCUGCCGUCUACUCUUGGACAGCCUUCUGAAAGGAAGAUUAAUACAAGAUGGCAUCAUGAGUCCGCAUGUUCACAUGAUUAAAGGUAUUCCGGUAGACGAUGGGGAUGCGUUCCAUUAGAUAGUAGGCGGGGUAACGGCCCACCUAGUCUUCGAUGGAUAGGGGUUCUGAGAGGAAGGUCCCCCACAUUGGAACUGAGACACGGUCCAAACUCCUACGGGAGGCAGCAGUGAGGAAUAUUGGUCAAUGGGCGAGAGCCUGAACCAGCCAAGUAGCGUGAAGGAUGACUGCCCUAUGGGUUGUAAACUUCUUUUAUAAAGGAAUAAAGUCGGGUAUGGAUACCCGUUUGCAUGUACUUUAUGAAUAAGGAUCGGCUAACUCCGUGCCAGCAGCCGCGGUAAUACGGAGGAUCCGAGCGUUAUCCGGAUUUAUUGGGUUUAAAGGGAGCGUAGAUGGAUGUUUAAGUCAGUUGUGAAAGUUUGCGGCUCAACCGUAAAAUUGCAGUUGAUACUGGAUAUCUUGAGUGCAGUUGAGGCAGGCGGAAUUCGUGGUGUAGCGGUGAAAUGCUUAGAUAUCACGAAGAACUCCGAUUGCGAAGGCAGCCUGCUAAGCUGCAACUGACAUUGAGGCUCGAAAGUGUGGGUAUCAAACAGGAUUAGAUACCCUGGUAGUCCACACGGUAAACGAUGAAUACUCGCUGUUUGCGAUAUACGGCAAGCGGCCAAGCGAAAGCGUUAAGUAUUCCACCUGGGGAGUACGCCGGCAACGGUGAAACUCAAAGGAAUUGACGGGGGCCCG
rnacentral:rRNA from 1 species